rnacentral:rRNA from 1 species
UACGGAGGGGGCUAGCGUUGUUCGGAAUUACUGGGCGUAAAGCGCACGUAGGCGGAUCAGUUAGUCGGGGGUGAAAUCCCGGGGCUCAACCCCGGAACUGCCUUCGAUACUGCUGGUCUGGAGUCCGAGAGAGGUGAGUGGAAUUCCGAGUGUAGAGGUGAAAUUCGUAGAUAUUCGGAAGAACACCAGUGGCGAAGGCGGCUCACUGGACUGGUAUUGACGCUGAGGUGCGAAAGCGUGGGGAGCAAACAGG